UCAGCCAUGGUUGUGAGCUAGUUUUUUGACAUGGUAUCCGAGAAAGGAGGUAUUUCGACUCAUCUGCCUUCUUCAUGCUUCUUCUUUCAAUCUCGUUUUGUUUCCAUAUAGCUCCUUUGGUAUGCAUCUCAGAUUUGUUAGCUAGAAUUGAAUUCUAGAUCUAUUUCGUUUCAAUUUCUUUUCUGCUGGAUUUCAUCAUUGGAUCAAAUCGUAUUUUGUAUAUUUCUUUGAUCUGAUUUUACUAUGGCGAUUGAGAAUUGUUCUACUUCGACUGAGAAUUAUGUGAAUAACAAUGGUGUUAACAUUAAUGAUCUUAGUUCUCCUCUAUAUGUGCAUCCCUCGGAUAAUCCUGGUGCUUCGUUGGUUCAAAAUUCUUUUAAUGGAAUAGGUUAUAGAUUAUGUAGAUGAAGUGUUCUUAGAGUUUUGUCAGUUUAAAACAAACUGGGUUUUAUCAAUGGUGAUUGUAAAAGGCCCGAUCCAGGAACAUCACAGUUUCGUUAAUGGGAAAGGUGUGAUGAUAUGGUUACUUCUUAGAUUCUUAAUUCUCUAACUAUGGAAAUCACAUAAAGUAUAGAAUAUGUUUUUGAUUCAUGUGAGUUGUGGAAAGAAUUAGAGGAUCAAUAUGAUCAAACUAAUGGUGCAAAGUUAUAUCAAGUUCAACGUGAAAUCAAUGAAUUAUCACGAGGAACUUUAGAUGUUACUGCUUGUUACACUAGGAUGAAAAAGUUGUGGGAAGAGUUGAGUACACUACACAUAAAAACUCAAUGCAAUUGUAAUUGCACUUGUGGAGCCAAGGAUAAUAUGUUCAAAGCGGAGCAGGAUCAAAGGUUGAUACAAUUCCUUAUGAGGUUGAAUGAAGUUUAUACUGUAGUAAGAGGAAAUAUCCUCAAGAAGUUCAGGUAAAAAAAUCAUGGAGUCUGCCAUUUUCAAUACAAAUGGUUCAGGAGGAGCAGGUCCUUCUAGGUUAUCAAGACCAAGUAACACUUCUACAGGGAACAUCAAUGCUAAUUUCAAAACCAGUUACUCUCAGACCAGUUCCUAUGGUAGUAGAAAACCUCGUGAUAUAUGUGACUAUUGAAAAAGAUCUUGUCACAUCAGGGAUAAAUGCUACAAACUACAUGGCUAUCCACAGACAAACAACAAUCCACAAUUAUCAAAUGGGUACAGGGACAAUAAUCAGAAUUUUAGAUUCAACAGAGGAAAAGGUCUUAUGGCUGAUGUUCAUGGUUGUUCAGGAGAGGGGAAUGAUGGAGGAGCUCAUGCAGACACAGGUCAUCAACUAACAAAAGAAUAUUAUGUUCAUUUUGUGGAGUUGUUGCAGCAGUUCCAAGCUGAGAAAACUAAUGCUAAGCACAUGGACAAUGGUAGUGCGAAUUUUGCAGGCCCCUUCAAUGAAAAGGAUUCUGGUAAUUGGUGAAACAAAGGAUGGGCUUUAUUUUUUGUGUUCUAAAUGCUUGAUGAAACAUGUUUCUCUUGGUGCUGCUUAUGCUACUUCUAACUCUGAUCAUCUAUCAAGACCAGAUGUUUUCAAUUCUAAGCUUGUAUAUUUUUCUACUCACUCAUGUAAACACAAUACACAACCUUCUGUCUGUUCUUCAAUCAAUAAAGCUCCUAAUAUUUCUGCUUCUUUAA